AACGAACGCUGGCGGCGUGGAUAAGACAUGCAAGUCGAACGGGAUCAAAUUUGUAGCAAUACAAAGUUGGUCUAGUGGCGCACGGGUGCGUAACACGUGAGCAAUCUGCCGGGAAGUGGGGGGAUAGCUCGCCGAAAGGCGAAUUAAUACCGCAUAUGACUAGGAAUAACAUUCUUACGAUGUCAAAGCAGCAAUGCGCUUCCUGAUGAGCUCGCGGCCUAUCAGCUAGAUGGCGGGGUAACGGCCCACCAUGGCUCUGACGGGUAGCUGGUCUGGGAGGACGACCAGCCACACUGGAACUGAGACACGGUCCAGACACCUACGGGUGGCAGCAGUCGAGAAUUUUUCACAAUGGGGGAAACCCUGAUGGAGCGACGCCGCGUGGAGGACGAAGGCCUUCGGGUUGUAAACUCCUGUCAUGCGGGAACAAGAAAGUGAUAGUACCGCAAGAGGAAGAGACGGCUAACUCUGUGCCAGCCGCCGCGGUAA
rnacentral:rRNA from 1 species